rnacentral:rRNA from 1 species
GAUGAACGCUGGCGGCGUGCCUAAUACAUGCAAGUCGAGCGAAUGGAUUAAGAGCUUGCUCUUAUGAAGUUAGCGGCGGACGGGUGAGUAACACGUGGGUAACCUGCCCAUAAGACUGGGAUAACUCCGGGAAACCGGGGCUAAUACCGGAUAACAUUUUGAACCGCAUGGUUCGAAAUUGAAAGGCGGCUUCGGCUGUCACUUAUGGAUGGACCCGCGUCGCAUUAGCUAGUUGGUGAGGUAACGGCCCACCAAGGCAACGAUGCGUAGCCGACCUGAGAGGGUGAUCGGCCACACUGGGACUGAGCAACGGCCCAGACUCCUACGGGAGGGAGCUGUAGGGAAUCUUCCGCAAUGGACGAAAGUCUGACGGAGCAACGCCGCGUGAGUGAUGAAGGCUUUCGGGUCGUAAAACUCUGUUGUUAGGGAAGAACAAGUGCUAGUUGAAUAAGCUGGCACCUUGACGGUACCUAACCAGAAAGCCACGGCUAACUACGUGCCAGCAGCCGCAGUAA